AUUGAACGCUGGCGGCGUGCUUAACACAUGCAAGUCGUGCGGUAACAGGCGUAGCAAUACGUGCUGACGAGCGGCGAACGGGUGCGUAAUACAUGGGAAUCUGCCCUUUAGUGGGGAAUAACCCGGCGAAAGCCGGGCUAAUGCCGCAUAAGAUCUUCGGAUGAAAGCGGGGGAUCGUAAGACCUCGCGCUGAUGGAUGAGCCCAUGCCGGAUUAGCAGUUGGUGAGGUAACGGCUCACCAAGGCGACGAUCCGUAGCUGGUCUGAGAGGACGGCCAGCCACACUGGGACUGAGACACGGCCCAGACUCCUACGGGAGGCAGCAGUGGGGAAUAUUGGACAAUGGGCGCAAGCCUGAUCCAGCGAUGCCGCGUGUGUGAAGAAGGCCUGCGGGUUGUAAAGCACUUUCAGUAGGGAAGAAAGCCGAGU
rnacentral:rRNA from 1 species